rnacentral:lncRNA from 1 species
GGCAGCUGCAAGUGCUAGGGGAAAGGCACAGACUAGAGUGAGUUCCAGAUUCAGUGUGACCUGGACCAACUCAGUCUGAGCUGUUUGACUUGCAUUCAAAAGAUGAAACAAGAUUCUGUUGUUUUAAGAUGACAAAACGUCACCAAGUAUUCCAGAUUCAAUGUGAAUAAGAAGAUGUAUAUAUGUCUUAUAAGAUCCUGCCUCUGAAUGAGACUGCCCACUAUGCAAGUGCCUUACCUGUAGUGCACACUUAGCAACCAUUUGUUAAACAGAAGAAUGAAUAAAUGAAUGAAUGAAUGAAUGAAAACCCUAAUCCUAUCAUCAGUCAUGUCAGCACCUUCAUCUUUUUUCUUAGUAAGAGUCAAAUCAAUCCUCGUGUUUUGCCAACUUUUCACAGAGAAGGCUUAGAUUCGAAAUCUCUGUAGACAUAAUAGGUUUUCUGCUUUCUUUCCUUUCUCCAUUUCAACAUUCAGAAAACUCACACUGGAAGAUAACAGGGCCCUUUCUGAGAUUCUUCCUGUCUUCCAGAAUCUUUUCCAGGGGAACAGAGCUGCACCAGCCUCAGGUGCCCAAAGGGUAUCUGUCUUUCUCUCCAAGAGGAAGGCAAAGCAGUUUGUUCAUCUCAGCCUCCUCACCCCCCAGAGGCCCGGUUUGGCUCUGCAUUCACAGACACGUGCCCUGUCUUCCUCAACACAUCAUGGACUGGAGCAUGGGAGAAAGUCAUGCAACAUAGUCAACAGGUCUAGCCUCAGCUUCCCAAUACCCACACACAUAAAGUUAAACGGAAAGCAAUGAACAACACUGGUUGGGGGUGUCCUUGGAAACCAACGGCCUCCAUGGCUGACCAACAGCCAAGGCUCCACUCAACCUCAGUGGAGGACCUGAACUCUGACCCUUAGCCUAUUACCGAGCAGUGGUGUGAUCUUAGAUAAAAAACUGAACCUCUCUAGGUCUGUUUCUUCUUCCAUGAAAUGGAAAUAAAUAAAAUUUUGCCACUAAGAGCAUACAAUUUCUGUGAAAACCAAAAUAAUGUAAAAUCAUUGCCAGGUGUGAAUGAAGUCACAGGGGAAUAUAGAAGAAAAAUGAUUUGCCCAAAUUUCCAAAGCUUUUUUUCAGAGUUGCAUCCAAACUAACUCCAGGACUCAACUACUCCAUUUGGAGGGUCUCAGACUCCCAACCUCCUCCAUCUUUCCAUAUCUGUGGGUGAAAACUCUGCAAAAACUGUAAUGUGCUAGAUUUGAUGUGCU